rnacentral:rRNA from 1 species
GGGAUAACAGUUGGAAACGGCUGCUAAUACCGCAUAAGCGCACAGUACCGCAUGGUACCGUGUGAAAAACUCCGGUGGUAUGAGAUGGACCCGCGUCUGAUUAGCUAGUUGGUGGGGUAACGGCCUACCAAGGCGACGAUCAGUAGCCGACCUGAGAGGGUGACCGGCCACAUUGGGACUGAGACACGGCCCAAACUCCUACGGGAGGCAGCAGUGGGGAAUAUUGCACAAUGGGGGAAACCCUGAUGCAGCGACGCCGCGUGAGCGAUGAAGUAUUUCGGUAUGUAAGGCUCUAUCAGCAGGGAAGAAAAUGACGGUACCUGACUAAGAAGCCCCGGCUAACUACGUGCCAGCAGCCGCGGUAAUACGUAGGGGGCAAGCGUUAUCCGGAUUUACUGGGUGUAAAGGGAGCGUAGACGGCAUGGCAAGCCAGAUGUGAAAGCCCGGGGCUCAACCCCGGGACUGCAUUUGGAACUGUCAGGCUAGAGUGUCGGAGAGGAAAGCGGAAUUCCUAGUGUAGCGGUGAAAUGCGUAGAUAUUAGGAGGAACACCAGUGGCGAAGGCGGCUUUCUGGACGAUGACUGAC